AAUCCAUAGGUUAAUGAGGCGAACCGGGGGAACUGAAACAUCUAAGUACCCCGAGGAAAAGAAAUCAACCGAGAUUCCCCCAGUAGCGGCGAGCGAACGGGGAGGAGCCCAGAGCCUGAAUCAGCAUGUGUGUUAGUGGAAGCGUCUGGAAAGGCGCGCGAUACAGGGUGACAGCCCCGUACACAAAAGCGCAUGUGUUGUGAGCUCGAUGAGUAGGGCGGGACACGUGGUAUCCUGUCUGAAUAUGGGGGGACCAUCCUCCAAGGCUAAAUACUCCUGACUGACCGAUAGUGAACCAGUACCGUGAGGGAAAGGCGAAAAGAACCCCGGCGAGGGGAGUGAAAAAGAACCUGAAACCGUGUACGUACAAGCAGUGGGAGCACCCUUUUGGGUGUGACUGCGUACCUUUUGUAUAAUGGGUCAGCGACUUAUAUUCUGUAGCAAGGUUAACCGAAUAGGGGAGCCGGAGGGAAACCGAGUCUUAAUUGGGCGUUAAGUUGCAGGGUAUAGACCCGAAACCCGGUGAUCUAGCCAUGGGCAGGUUGAAGGUUGGGUAACACUAACUGGAGGACCGAACCGACUAAUGUUGAAAAAUUAGCGGAUGACCUGUGGCUGGGGGUGAAAGGCCAAUCAAACCGGGAGAUAGCUGGUUCUCCCCGAAAGCUAUUUAGGUAGCGCCUCGUGAAUUCAUCUCCGGGGGUAGAGCACUGUUUCGGCUAGGGGGCCAUCCCGGCUUACCAACCCGAUGCAAACUGCGAAUACCGGAGAAUGUUAUCACGGGAGACACACGGCGGGUGCUAACGUCCGUCGUGAAGAGGGAAACAACCCAGACCGCCAGCUAAGGUCCCAAAGUCAUGGUUAAGUGGGAAACGAUGUGGGAAGGCCCAGACAGCCAGGAUGUUGGCUUAGAAGCAGCCAUCAUUUAAAGAAAGCGUAAUAGCUCACUGGUCGAGUCGGCCUGCGCGGAAGAUGUAACGGGGCUAAACCAUGCACCGAAGCUGCGGCAGCGACGCUCAGGCGUUGUUGGGUAGGGGAGCGUUCUGUAAGCCUGUGAAGGUGGCCUGUGAGGGUUGCUGGAGGUAUCAGAAGUGCGAAUGCUGACAUAAGUAACGAUAAAGCGGGUGAAAAGCCCGCUCGCCGGAAGACCAAGGGUUCCUGUCCAACGUUAAUCGGGGCAGGGUGAGUCGACCCCUAAGGCGAGGCCGAAAGGCGUAGUCGAUGGGAAACGGGUUAAUAUUCCCGUACUUGGUGUUACUGCGAAGGGGGGACGGAGAAGGCUAUGUUGGCCGGGCGACGGUUGUCCCGGUUUAAGCGUGUAGGUGUGUGUUCCAGGUAAAUCCGGUUCACUUUAACACUGAGGCGUGACGACGAGGCACUACGGUGCUGAAGCAACAAAUGCCCUGCUUCCAGGAAAAGCCUCUAAGCAUCAGGUAACAUCAAAUCGUACCCCAAACCGACACAGGUGGUCAGGUAGAGAAUACCAAGGCGCUUGAGAGAACUCGGGUGAAGGAACUAGGCAAAAUGGUGCCGUAACUUCGGGAGAAGGCACGCUGACACGUAGGUGAAGUGAUUUACUCAUGGAGCUGAAGUCAGUCGAAGAUACCAGCUGGCUGCAACUGUUUAUUAAAAACACAGCACUGUGCAAACACGAAAGUGGACGUAUACGGUGUGACGCCUGCCCGGUGCCGGAAGGUUAAUUGAUGGGGUCAGCGCAAGCGAAGCUCCUGAUCGAAGCCCCGGUAAACGGCGGCCGUAACUAUAACGGUCCUAAGGUAGCGAAAUUCCUUGUCGGGUAAGUUCCGACCUGCACGAAUGGCGUAAUGAUGGCCAGGCUGUCUCCACCCGAGACUCAGUGAAAUUGAACUCGCUGUGAAGAUGCAGUGUACCCGCGGCAAGACGGAAAGACCCCGUGAACCUUUACUAUAGCUUGACACUGAACAUUGAGCCUUGAUGUGUAGGAUAGGUGGGAGGCUUUGAAGCGUGGACGCCAGUCUGCGUGGAGCCGACCUUGAAAUACCACCCUUUAAUGUUUGAUGUUCUAACGUGGACCCGUUACCCGGGUUGCGGACAGUGUCUGGUGGGUAGUUUGACUGGGGCGGUCUCCUCCUAAAGAGUAACGGAGGAGCACGAAGGUUGGCUAAUCCUGGUCGGACAUCAGGAGGUUAGUGCAAUGGCAUAAGCCAGCUUGACUGCGAGCGUGACGGCGCGAGCAGGUGCGAAAGCAGGUCAUAGUGAUCCGGUGGUUCUGAAUGGAAGGGCCAUCGCUCAACGGAUAAAAGGUACUCCGGGGAUAACAGGCUGAUACCGCCCAAGAGUUCAUAUCGACGGCGGUGUUUGGCACCUCGAUGUCGGCUCAUCACAUCCUGGGGCUGAAGUAGGUCCCAAGGGUAUGGCUGUUCGCCAUUUAAAGUGGUACGCGAGCUGGGUUUAGAACGUCGUGAGACAGUUCGGUCCCUAUCUGCCGUGGGCGCUGGAGAACUGAGGGGGGCUGCUCCUAGUACGAGAGGACCGGAGUGGACGCAUCACUGGUGUUCGGGUUGUCAUGCCAAUGGCACUGCCCGGUAGCUAAAUGCGGAAGAGAUAAGUGCUGAAAGCAUCUAAGCACGAAACUUGCCCCGA
rnacentral:rRNA from 1 species